rnacentral:misc_RNA from 1 species
GAUGAAGAACGUAGCGAAAUGCGAUACGCAGUGUGAAUUGCAGAAUUCAGUGAAUCAUCGAAUCUUUGAACGCACAUUGCACCUCUCGGUAUUCCGGGAGGUAUGCCUGUUCGAGCGUCAUUUGUACCCUCAAGCUCUGCUUGGUGUUGGGUGUUUGUUCCGCCUCUGUGUGUGAACUCGCCUCAAAACAAUUGGCAGCCGGCGUACUUGUUUCGGAGCGCAGCACAUUUUGCGAUCCAGAUCAACGUACAGCGGCAUCCAAGAAGCCUUAUUUAACGCUCUUGACCUCGGAUCAGGUAGGGAUACCCGCUGAACUUAAGCAUAUCAAUAAGCGGAGGA